CAAUAGCGUAUAUUAAAGUUGUUGCAGUUAAAAAGCUCGUAGUUGGAUUUCUGGUGGGAGCGAUCGGUCUGGCGCUUAGCGCGAGUACUUGCAUCGUCUCCGGCCAUCCUUGGGGAAAGUCUGUCUGGCAUUAAGUUGUCGGGCAGAGGCUCCUCAUCGUUUACUGUGAAAAAAUUAGAGUGUUCAAAGCAGGCUUAUGCCGUUGAAUAUAUUAGCAUGGAAUAAUAAGAUAGGACUUUGGUACUAUUUUGUUGGUUUGCGCACCAAAGUAAUGAUUAAUAGGGACAGUUGGGGGUAUUCGUAUUCCGUUGUCAGAGGUGAAAUUCUUGGAUUUACGGAAGACGAACUACUGCGAAAGCAUUUACCAAGGAUGUUUUCAUUAA
rnacentral:rRNA from 1 species